rnacentral:rRNA from 1 species
CCUACGGGAGGCAGCAGUGAGGAAUAUUGGACAAUGGGCGGAAGCCUGAUCCAGCCAUGCCGCGUGCAGGAAGACUGCCCUAUGGGUUGUAAACUGCUUUUGUACAGGAAGAAACCUUUCCACGUGUGGAGAGCUGACGGUACUGUAAGAAUAAGCAUCGGCUAACUCCGUGCCAGCAGCCGCGGUAAUACGGAGGAUGCAAGCGUUAUCCGGAAUCAUUGGGUUUAAAGGGUCCGUAGGUGGAUUGGUCAGUCAGAGGUGAAAUCCUGCAGCUCAACUGUAGAACUGCCUUUGAUACUGCCGGUCUUGAAUUAUUGUGAAGUGGUUAGAAUAUGUAGUGUAGCGGUGAAAUGCAUAGAUAUUACAUAGAAUACCGAUUGCGAAGGCAGAUCACUAACAAUAUAUUGACACUGAUGGACGAAAGCGUGGGGAGCGAACGG